GUUAAGAAAGCUGAAAUUCACGAUCAACCUCUGAACCGUUAAGGCCUAUCACCAAUUGAGAACGAUUUUGCUCGUUUACUGCUGGCAACUGUAAGAAUGAAAACCUUACUUCAAGCAUUUUUAAUCGCCCUUCUUCUCCUUGCAAGUAUGGUCAGUUUUAGCGAGAGUACGUUUGGCGCUGGUCGGUACGAAUUCGGAGGAAAUGAGGGUAAAAGAUCGAAGUCCCGUAAGGUUUUGCAAGGGUCCAGUAAGUUUCCCCAAGGAGAAAGAAGCUUUCGACUGGCUGCGGAGGGUGACAUGAUGCAUGUUCGACGAGACGAGAUCUGUGAAAUUGCGAAGAGUACCUGUUGAGCGUCACGAGACGUGUGAAGUCGCCGGCAGAAGAGCCAUGAACUAACCGCGUACAAAAAUGAUUGAAUUGUUAUAACAUUGUUGUAGCCAGGGUGCACGGUUCAAGUCUGAAUCAAUAAAGGAUGAAA